GGAACGGAGUGAGUCCACCAGGGAGAUGAUACUGGAGCUGAGUUUUGAAUAAAUAAUCUUCCUAGAUGGAAAAGGGAAAUAACAGGACAACAGGUAGAAAGGACAAGACCUGCAAAGCCAUGGAAUCAUGGAAAAGCAGACAAAGUUUAGGGGAAGAUGAGCUGCAUGAGAAAUGGGACAGAAGAAAUAGUUUGGGCUGGAUUGUGAAGCACUUAGUGAAACUUCUGGAGGACCCCGGAUUUACCUUGAGGAUUACAGGAAGCAAGGGAGGAAUCUACAAAGAGCAGCCCAGUCACACCUGUGUUUUAAAAGGGUUUGGAUCAUAAUUCUGAAAGACACAAUCCUGAAUGCCAUAAUUCUAAAUGUUGACAUCCCAAAAGAUCAAAAUCCCUAAACGUAAAUCUCUAAUGUCCAAAAUCUCCAAGAUCACAAUCACAGAUUUGACUCCAUGAAAGUGCAUUAUCACAAUGUUGAUUUUGUGUAUCAGCAUUGCGCAUCUACGUAAAAAUGUUGAAACUUCCUCAGUAAAUGACGAGAUGUCCUUUUUGUACAUCUGCAUUUGUGAAAGACAAAAUUUCUUGAGAUCUCUGCUCUUUGG
rnacentral:lncRNA from 10 species